rnacentral:rRNA from 1 species
UACGUAGGGUGCAAGCGUUAAUCGGAAUUACUGGGCGUAAAGCGUGCGCAGGCGGUUAUGUAAGACAGGUGUGAAAUCCCCGGGCUUAACCUGGGAACUGCAUUUGUGACUGCACAGCUAGAGUACGGCAGAGGGGGAUGGAAUUCCGCGUGUAGCAGUGAAAUGCGUAGAUAUGCGGAGGAACACCGAUGGCGAAGGCAAUCCCCUGGGCCUGUACUGACGCUCAUGCACGAAAGCGUGGGGAGCAAACAGG